rnacentral:tRNA from 1 species
UCCCUGGUGGUCCAGUUUUGGGACUUGGCACUUUCACUGCCAUGGGCCUGGGUUCGAUCCCUGGGUGGGGAA